AGCGUGCGUAGGCGGCUUGGUAGGUGAGAUGUGAAAGCCCACGGCUCAACCGUGGAAUUGCGUUUCAAACCCCCAAGCUCGAGGAAGAUAGGGGUGAUGGGAACUUAUGGUGGAGCGGUGAAAUGCGUUGAUAUCAUAGGGAACACCGGUGGCGAAAGCGCAUCACUGGAUCUUUUCUGACGCUGAGGCACGAAAGCUAGGGUAGCGAACGGGAUUAGAUACCCCGGUAGUCCUAGCCGUAAACGAUGAACACUGGGUUGAGGGGACUUCCACAUCCUCUCGGCCGUAGCGAAAGCGUUAAGUGUUCCGCCUGGGGAGUAUGGUCGCAAGGCUGAAACUCAAAGGAAUUGACGGGGGCUCACACAA
rnacentral:rRNA from 2 species